CCUACGGGUGGCAGCAGUGAGGAAUCUUGGUCAAUGGACGAGAGUCUGAACCAGCCACGUAGCGUGAAGGAUGACUGCCCUAUGGGUUGUAAACUUCUUUUAUAUGGGAAUAAAACGUUCCACGUGUGGGAUUUUGUAUGUACCAUAUGAAUAAGGAUCGGCUAACUCCGUGCCAGCAGCCGCGGUAAUACGUAGGAUCCGAGCGUUAUCCGGAUUUAUUGGGUUUAAAGGGAGCGUAGGUGGAUUGUUAAGUCAGUUGUGAAAGUUUGCGGCUCAACCGUAAAAUUGCAGUUGAAACUGGCAGUCUUGAGUACAGUAGAGGUGGGCGGAAUUCGUGGUGUAGCGGUGAAAUGCGUAGAUAUCACGAAGAACUCCGAUUGCGAAGGCAGUUCACUGGACUGCAACUGACACUGAGGCUCGAAAGUGUGGGUAGCAAACAGGAUUAGAUACCCCGGUAGUC
rnacentral:rRNA from 1 species